rnacentral:rRNA from 1 species
CGAGUUCAAAUAUGUCAAAAUGACUCUCGGCAACGGAUAUCUCGGCUCUCGCAUCGAUGAAGAACGUAGCAAAAUGCGAUACGUGGUGUGAAUUGCAGAAUUCCGUGAACCAUCGAGUUUUUGAACGCAAGUUGCGCCCAAUGUCAUUCGACUGA